UUAGAGUAUGCUAAUCUUAUUAAUCAGAUUGAUAACAUUGCAGCUCGCCUGGCCUCGCUUCCCCCUAAUGUAAGGGACACAUUAUACCACGGACUGCCACCCGCUGUUAAGGAAGGUUUAAGGUCCCGAAUACAGUCCAUUGACACCGAGGAAGAGUGUUCGAUUUCAGAGGUCAAGGAUGAGAUGGAAAAGACACUGUAGUGGCUUGUUCCAGUUGCUAC